rnacentral:lncRNA from 1 species
UCGAUUAUUGUUCUCCCGAAUAUACGGCCGACCUCAAAAUCCCUCGGGAUACCAACCCUAGCUAGAGCUCGGAGAUUUCCCACUUCUUCUUGGAUAAAAAAAUUUCGAACUUGUUGGUAAUCAAGAGGAGUCUUGUCUUCUCGAGCACCUCCAACUGAGGUAACAAUCUCUCCUUCGCCGUAUUUUCCGUUGGUUUUUGUUCUCUCUCUAUUCCUUUGUUAUGAAUCGCGGUAACUCUAGAUGAUGUGCUCUGUCUUCCGGAUUCGAGAUUGUCACUUAAUUUGUUGGCAAAAUAUUGUUAGGAACCAUGAGGAUAUGAACUGUUAAAUUCGUAUAGAUAUGAUGGCAUGAUUUUAUUUGUAGAAGGUAACUCUGCUGGAUUGUGUGGAUGUCUUAUAUGUUUCUCUGCCAUUGGAUUCUACUUUGAAUUAGAGCUGCUUUACUAUCCCCAUUGGUAUGCUUGAAAUGUAAAUAAAUAAAAAUGAUGUAUAUUAUAGCUAUGAUUUUUCACAAAAUAAACUGUGAUAUGAAUAAAAAUGGUGUAUAUCAGUUGUUAGAUGUUAACAUAAUAGCCCUUAUGCUUACUUUCUAACAAGCAUUUUAAUCAUUAGAUGUGCAUCUAACAAAAGGACAAUAGCUUUUGUUGCGGGGUUUUCACCCCGGCAACAGUCCGCACACCAACCGAGCAGAGAAAGCGACUGCGUCCUCACCGAGGUAUUGUCCGCUCUGGGCCGGCCUACGAUUUUCCCUCCAUGGGUUCGUGAAUGAGUUGCUCGGGGAGUACCAACUCGUCCCGGCGCAACUUGCUCCGAACGCAUGGAGGACGAUUAUCGGAUUUCGGUCCUUGUGCAUGGCAUAUGGGAUCCCGUCUUCCGUGAAUGUCUUCCGGCGGCUCUUCAUGUUGAAGUCCAACUCGGGAGACGGAGAGUGGCUCUAUAUCGCCCUUCGGGGGGGUCGGUCACUCUUCCAGGGCGCUCCGACGUCCAUUCACGACUGGAAGAAAAAAAUUUUCUUUUUGGGUUCCGAGCGGUCAUGGGGGUUCGACCUUAGGUGGAGGCAGAGCCGGCUCAGGACCGCCAAUAAACUCCCCAGGCUUUCCACGCGCGAGCAGGGGAUCCUUAACGCCGUUCGCGGCCUCGGGGAUGGUAUUCUUCAUGAGCGAGGACGCUCUAGUCAAUGUCGGUCUGAGCUCGGCGCGCCCUCAAGAUAAGGGUAGUAGUAACUUAAAAAAUUUUCUUUCUUUUUCCUCAUAAUAUUUUACGAACUUACUUUGCUCGUCCUUGCAGACAUUGCAAAGAUGGUGACCAAGAGCGGAGCUUUGUACGCUCGGUUCCGAAAGAGGGCAGCCGAGCUCGAAGGAGUCCCGCCCGAGACAAAGAAGAAGGCCAAGGUCUCGGCUGAUGGGGCCGCCGAGAGGAGCGCUCCCCGAGUUGAGCCCCCCGAAGCUGCUCGGAGGGGGGGCUCGAGCUCCGAGCCCGGAAGCUCAGCAGGAGCCACUAUGGCGCUCGCAUGCCCGACGCCAAUCUCGCGAGUCCCUGGUCGGUCGCCCGUCCGACCCGAGCGCCCGGCAUCCGAGCCGGGCAGCAGCCGAGGGGUCGCGAGGCCGCCUUCACCGAAGGCAACAAGGCCCAGCCUCCCCGACCCACCGGAGGAUGAGGGCCAACAAGAAAGGCGGUCCUACAUUCCGGAAUGGGCAGUGUUCGAGGGCGACUCAGCCCUCAAGAACGUUGAGACGGCGCGGCAGAUCUUCCGCGUCGCACUUCUUUCAGCCGACAGGGCGAAAAUUCAGGCCAUGAGCCUGAACAAUUUUUUGGAGUCACCUCGCCUCCCUGCUAUUCGGAUAAAUCUUCAUUAUUUACUAUUAUUUAUUCCUUACGCUUUUAGCUUUUAUGCCCUAAUUCUAUCCUCGGCCUAAUUUCUGCCUUGCUUACAGCACCUCCACGAGAUCGAGACACUGAUCUCGAUCGGUGCAGACUGCAAAGAACGAGCUUGUCGGUGUUUACGGGCACAAGAGAAGGCCGAGAAAAAGCUGGCGGAGCUCGAGCUCCACAAGAAGGAGGUUUUGCUUAGAGUGGGGGCCACCGAGGAUGAAGUCCGAAUUGUGACCGAGGUGCUCGAAGAAGAGAAGGCCGCUCAUGUUCUGACUAGAUCAGAGCUGCGGGCUGCCGAGGCUUGCUUGGCCGAGGUGCGGUCCCUGCUCGUCGUCCGCGAGCAGGAAAUAAAGAACGCGGAGCUUAAGACCGAGCAACUCGAAGCUCAACUCGGAGCUCGGGAGAAGGAGGCCCAGGAGCAGGCCCAGAGCGCCGUUCAACUCUUCCAUGAAUCGGAAGAGUUCCGCGACCUGCUCGAAGAGGAGGCCGUGAAGGGGCUCAUUCAGGGCUUCAACGACUUCCGCAAUCAACUGAAGCGGCUCUGCCCCGACUUUAACCUCGAUCUGCUUCAACCGGGAGCGGGGUUCGAGUUCGAGGCAGAUGACUCGGUUGAGGCGGGGACUCGGGCGGUUGAAGAAACCGCUCAAGAGACCGAGGCCGCUGCCGAGGAAGGUCCGGCGGGAGCACCCGAGGCUGCUCCCGAGGUUGCUGAGGACGGCUGGACCGAGACCGCCACGGAGGAACCAGCAGCUGCUGAAGAAGGUCCGACGGGAGUUCCUGAAACUGCCCCCGAGGCUACUGAGGACAUUGGGGCCGAAGGGAUCCCGGCUGCUGGUGCCGCGCUCGCCCCCUAGGGUUUUCUUUUUUGUUUUGUUAUUUUUGUGAAGGAGGAUGGCCUUUAUGUCUGUUAUACGGCCGAGCCUCAAUUUUGUACUCAGCCUUCGGGCUUUUCUUCCAAAUGAACUUUCUUUCUAAAUUUGUGUGGUUGACUCAAGUCUUGCUUUUCAGUAGAUCUAAGUUUUUUCGGGUUCACUCAAGUUCAUGGACUUGGGCUCUGCGGCCUCAACCACGUUCAUUACGUAGUCAGACUUAGGUUUGGCAUAUUUGCCAAGUCCUUGACUCGGGUCCUAAGUUCCCGCUGCUCGGACCCUCGACCAGCGAUAUCGCGGUAUUUAGGUCCGAGACACUCGCCUGUCCUCGGGCUCGUCAAGCUUUCGAGCUCGGCACUGAAUCCUGCCGAGCCCUAGGACCUGAGGUCGCUAACUUGGCUCAAAUGUCAUAGGCUCCGUGAGCUCGGAGCUCUAGUUGCCGAAGCGAAUUGUCGGACCCUCCCCCCGACCUAAACAAGUCUAGGUACAGGCCCGAUGCAAGUCCCCAAGCUCGGGAUCAAAUUUCACCGAGCUGCCGGUAUCAAUCGGACUAGGGUUCACUGACGAGUGGUGCGCGCGGAAUCGAUGAGGUCGGCCCAUGAUUGAUCCGGCAAAGCGCCCCGAUGCUGGUCGGGACUUUAUUUGAGCAUUCAGUUGAUGCAGGAAUGAAUACAAGUACUGAUUAAAAUGUACCUUUUGUACCGUCGGAGUCGAGCGGCUCACGCUGAGGUCGGCAGCUUUGCUCCUCAGCUAACUUUUGAGGAUGCUCUUUUGCUCGGGGUCUGCUUUCUGGGGACACCAGCACACUAGGAGAAAUAGUUGUCAUUGGAGAUCUGUGGGCGUUGCCUUGCGGUCAUCCACAAAUAUUUUUGGGGCGCUUCGUUGUCAAUCACGAACAUUUGUUGCCGAUCACGAACAUUUGUUGCCGAUCACGAACGUUUGUUGCCGACCACGAACAUUUGUUGCCGACCAUGAACAUUUAUUGCCGACCUCGAACAUUUAUUGCCGACCUCGAACGUUUGUUUCCGGGGGGCCGCGAAGGUACUACCCCGUCAUUCCGAGGUCGAGGGAGCUCGGGCUCACUGUCGACUCAUCGGGGCAUCUCGACCUUAGUCGAGGAGGCGCUACGGGGGGCCGCGAAGGUACUACCCCGUUAUUGAUGUUGAGCGCCACAGAGGGCCGCGAAGGUACUACCCCAUCUUUCCGAAGUGUCAAGAGGUCUGGGCACGCACUGUCGACACUUGGGGCAUCCCGAACUCUAUCGGGGAGGCGCUACGGGGGGCCACAAAGGUACUACCCUGUUAUUGAUGUUGAGCGCCACGGAGGGCCGCGAAGGUACUACCCCGUCUUUCCGAAGUAUCGAGAGGUCUGGGCACGCACUGUCGACACUCGGAGCAUCCCGAACUUUGUCGGAGGAUCGUACGCAGGUCGAGGGGUCUGGGAACGCACUGUCGACCUGCGACGCUUCCCGAGGUCGAGGGAUCUGGGAACGCACUAUUGACCUCGGGGCAUUCCGGCCUUAGCCGAGGUAUUUGAGGAAGAUCGAGAUCGAGCUCGACAUUGACACCUUGAACUUUUUGCUAUAGGCGCCCGGCUUCGCCCGGUGCUAAUUGUAGUAUCCGAACGGGGUCAUGUAUACGAGCCGGGCCGGGUCGUCUGGGAAUCACGAAACAUUUAGACAUCAGGAGAAACGCAGCACAAUUAAACAAUUGUAGAUAAGUUAUUGUAAAAAGGUGAGACUUAUGCUCCAAACAGAGAUCCCCUUGGGGUUCUAUUGGUAAUACACCCGGAGGUUUUCAGAACUCCAGCUUCGUGGAAUAGGGGUCCCGUCGAGAGACUCCAGCUUGUACGCCCCGGAUCGCUAGACGCGUGCGACCCGGUAGGGUCCUUUCCAAUUCGGGGCCAACUUUCCUUGCUCGGUCGGCUGAGAGACUUCAGCCCUUCUGAGGACGAGGUCCCCCACUUUGAAGGAUUUGAUUUUGACUCUAGCAUUGUAAUAUUGCGCCGUCUUUUGCUGGUACCUCGCCAUGCGGACUCGGGCGGCUUUUCUUGUCUCCUCGUCUAGGUCCAGGUUAUUUCUGAGCUGCGAAGAGCUGGAGUUGGCGUCAUAAUGCUCUACCCUCGGAGAAGGGAGCCCAAUCUCCAAUGGGAUAACAGCUUCCGUUCCAUACGUCAAAUUGAAGGGAGUUUCGCCGGUGGGUACACGGAACGUGGUCCGAUAAGCCCACAGGAUGUUGUAUAGGUCUUCGACCCACUGUCUCUUGGACUGCUCGAGCCUGGCUUUGAGCCCCUACAAAAUAGUACAAUUCGUUACCUCGAUUUCUCCAUUUGUCUGAGGAUGUGCGACCGAAGUGAAGCAGUGGUCGAUGCCGAGCUCGGAGCAGAACUCUCUGAAGCGAGCGUUAUCAAACUAGCGGCCAUUGUCUGAUAUGAGGAUGCGGGGAAGUCCGAAUCUGCAAAUUAUUGACUUCCAAACGAAAUCCCGCAUCUUCUGCUCGGUGAUCCGGGCCACUGGCUCGGCCUCAACCCAUUUAGUAAAAUAGUCGAUAGAGACGACCAAAAACUUCUUUUGCCCGGUUGCCAGAGGGAACAGUCCCAGGAUAUCAAUUCCCCAUUGGACGAAUGGCCAAGGGGAACUGAUCGAGGUCAACAAAGUCGAGGGUCGGCGUUGAAUAUUGGCGUUCCUCUGGCAUCGGUCACGUCUCCGAACGAAGUCUAGCGUAUCCUUCUGGAGUGUCGGCCAGUAAUAUCCCUGGCGUAGAUCUUAUGUGCCAGUGCUUGGCCUUCCAGAUGAUUUCCGCAAAUUCCUUCAUGGACUUCGCGCAUCGCAUAAUCCGCCUCUGUCGGGCGGAAGCAUCUAAGGAGGGAAGAGGUAAACGAUCUCCGAUAAAGCUUGUCUUCGUACAAUAUGUAUCGAGCGGCUAGACGCUUGACUCGGCGAGCCUCGCAUUCAUCACUGGGGAGGGCGUCAUCCUGCAGGUAGCUGACGAGCUCGUCCAUCCAGCUCGGCUCAACCUCGACGCAAAGGGCCGGCUCGGGUUCCUUCGUGCUGGGCAUCCGAAGAUACUCCAGUGCUGCUGCUUUCGGAAGCUCGCUCAUGCGAGAGGACGCCAACUUUGACAGUUGAUCUGCUCUGAGGUUCUCCGACAUGGCAAUGUGUUGGAUGUGGAAAGAGCUCAGAGUCGAGGUGAGAUCCCGCACUUUCCGGAGAUACUCCUGCAUCGUGGGCUCUCUGGCUUCGAAGUCGCCCAAGAUUUGGUUCAUAACCAGCUGGGAGUCGCUGAAGACCCUUAGGUCCUUCACUUCCAGCUCCUUUGCCAACUUGAGCCCGGCGAUGAGUGCCUCGUAUUCCGCCACAUUGUUUGAGGCGGAAAACUCGAGGCGUAGAGCCUGCUCGGCAACCACUCCAUCUGGACUGGUGAGGAUGAGGCCCGCUCCACUACCCCCAAGUUCGAGGAACCAUCGACGUGCAGAGUCCACGUCGACCUCGGGGUCUGCUUUGUUGGUGCAGGCUCGAGCUCGGCCUCGUCUGGCACAGUGCACUGGACUAUAAAGUCGGCGAGUGCCUACGUCUUGAUCGCCGGUCUGGGUCGGUACUCGAGGUCGAACUCUCCGAGCUCGACGGCCCACUUUGUAAUUCUUCCAACACGAUCUGAUCGUUGCAGGAUUUGCUUCAUCGGCUGGGCGGUCAACACGGCCAUCGUGUGGGCUUAGAAGUAGGGCCGGAGCCUCCGAGCCGAAACGACCAGGGCAAAAAUUGUCUUUUCCAGCUUUGAAUAUCGGGUCUCGGCAUCCCUCAAGACCUGGCUGGUGUAGUAUACCGGUUUCUGAAGCUUAUUCUCCUCUCGGACCAGGACCGAGCUCACUGCAAUUGGGGAAACCGCCAAGUACAGAUAAAGGAGCUCACCCUGCUGAGGCUUCGUGAGCAAAGGAGGAGAAGCGAGAAGACGCUUAAGCUCUUCAAAGGCUUGCUGGCAUUCCGCCGAUCACAAGAAGUUCUUCGGCCGCUUGAAAGUCGCGAAGAACGGAAGACAACGCUCGGCAGAUCGGAAAACAAAUCUCUCGAGAGCUGCGACUCGUCCUGUAAGCCGCUGCACCUCUUUAACUGUCCUCGGGGGCACCAUCUCUUGAAGCACUCGGACCUUCUCGAGAUUGGCUUCAAUUCUCCGUUGGGUAAUCACGAAGCUAAGGAACUUGCCUGAGGUGACUCCGAAUGCACAUUUUGCAGGAUUGAGCUUCAUCUGGUAUCUCCGAAGCAUGGUGAACGCCUCGUCGAGGUCAGCCACAUGAUCCUUCGCCAUUCGACUCUUCACCAACAUGUCAUCGACAUAGACCUCCAUGUUUCGGCCUAUUUGGUCCUUAAAGAUUCGGCUGACCAGCCUUUGAUAAGUGGCUCCAGCAUUCUUUAAGCCGAAGGGCAUCACCUUGUAGCAAUAGGUGCCCCCGUCGGUAAUGAAGGCCGUCUUUUCCUCAUCUUCUGGCGCCAUCCGAAUCUGGUUGUACCCUGAGAAGGCGUCCAUGAAUGUCAACAGCUCAUGUCCCGAGGUGGAGUCUACGAGCUGGUCGAUGCUGGAAAAUGGGAAGCUGUCCUUCGGGCAGGCCUUGUUCAGGUCAGUAUAGUCCACGCACAUGCGCCAUUUUUCGCUAGCUUUUCUGACGAGGACCACAUUGGCGAGCCACUCCGGAUAGGAUAUCUUCCGGAUGAAGCCGGCCUUGAGGAGUUUGUCGACCUCCUCGGCCGCUGCUCGCUAUCGCUCUGGAGCGGCACUUCGCUUCUUUUGUCGCAUAGGCUUAUAGGUUGGCUUUACUUGGAGUCGGUGGACCGCGACCUCCGGAUCUAUUUCCGGCAUAUCGGCGGGCGACCAGGCGAAGAUGUCCAUGUUGGCCCGUAGGAAGUUGAUAAGGCGAUCCCUCUUGCGGGCAUCAAGGCCAGAGCCGACCUGCACGGUUAGCUCAGGACAAUUUUCUCGUAAGAAAAUUUGGGUGAGUAGCUCAUCGGGCUCUACCCGCUUCUUCUGAGGGCCAACCCGUGUCUCUAAAGUUUCAGCCGAGAGCUUGUCAUUUGGCGCCGAAGUUGACACCUUGGCUGGUUGCUUUGCCUUGUAGGUCGCCAUUUAGCAUCACCUUGCUAUCACCUGGUCCCCACGGACUUCGCCAACUCCUAGGCUGGCGGGAAACUGCAUAAGUAGGUGACAGGUUGAGACCAUGGCUCGAAGUGGAUUGAGCCCUGGCCGUCCAAGGAUGGCGUUAUAGGCUGAGGGCAAGCGCACCACGAGGAAACCCAUCCUCACGGUACUCUCUCGGGGGGCGAGCCCGACCGUAACUAGGAGAUCGACCUCGCCCUCCACUGGAACUGAGUCUCCGGUAAACCCGAUCAGUGGGGCGUUCACCCUCCGUAACUGCCUUUCUGUCAUCCCCAUUCUAGAAUAGGCAUCAAAGUACAAAACAUUUGCCGAACUUCCAUUAUCAACUAGGACGCGUUUUACAUCAAACUUGUUUACGACCAUAAAGAUNNNNNNNNNNNNNNNNNNNNUAGAAUAGGCAUCAAAGUACAAAACAUUUGCCGAACUUCCAUUAUCAACUAGGACGCGUUUUACAUCAAACUUGUUUACGACCAUAAAGAUGACCACAGCAUCAUCGUGGGGAGUUUCAACUCCCUUGAGGUCCUCAUUCGAGAAAGAGAUGACUUUAGAGGUGCGGGAGCGCUUUAGAAGAAGUCUUUUCCCAGCGGGUUCUCCGGCUGGGGCCCUCCGAUCUAUGGUGUUGAUAGUGCCAGCAAUGGGUUUGUUAGCAUUCGGCUCUCCAUGCUGCACGACGUCCUCCACUGGUCUUUUUUCUUCACGCCGGUUCCGCACAAACCGGUUGAGCACUCCUCGGCGGAUGAUUGCCUCGAUCUCGUCCCGGAGCUGGAAGCAGUCCUCCGUAUCAUGACCGUGGUUCCGGUGGAAACGAUAGUACUUCUUGGGGUUGCGCCAGGCCCUGGGGUUCCGCAUCGGGGGCGGAGGCCGGAAAUAAUUCCGACCCUCGAUCUCCAUGAGGAUCUCAGUCCGAGGAGCGUUAAGGAGAGUGUAACUUUCGUACCUCCCGUUGGAUAUGCGGGGCCGUGGCGGAGAUCUCGGACGAAGCGGGGUUCUUGGUCGGAGCGGUCCCCGCAGCCGGGGUGGACUCUUCAGACGAGGCAGGUUCUUAGCUCGGCGCGGAGACGGGCUUCUGGGACGGCCGCGCUCCUCAUGACGCCUCUUUGCUUUUUGGAGGUCUGCUCGGCCCCGCCUCGUCUAGAAGCGACGGCUUUCUCGGCUUUCGCGUACUUCCGCACCCGGACUAGCAUUUUGGUGAAGUCAACUGGAAAAUUCUUCUCGAUGGAGAAGAGAAACAUAUAAGACCGAGCUCCAGUCUUGAGUGCCGACAUGGCUAUGGACUGGUCGAGCUCGCGGACCUCCCAAGUUGCGGCAGUGAAACGGUCCAGAUAUUCCCUGAGCGACUCUCCCUCCCUUUGCUUUAUAUCGAGGAGGGAGUCUGAAGUCCGCCGCUGGGGUCGGCUGGCAGCGAAGUUGGCGGCGAACUGCCUGCCGAGUUGCUCGAAAGAAGAGACCGUGCUGGGUUUCAGCCUGGCGAACCAAAGACGAGUUGCUCCUCGAAGCGUUGCCGGGAAAGCCUUGCAGAGCAUGGCCUCCGAGGAUUCUUGCAGUGCCAUCAAGGCCCGGUAACUCUCCAGGUGAUCGAGGGGAUCGGUCAUGCCGUUGUAGGGCUCCACCUGGGGCAUCUUAAACCUCGGCGGGACCGGCUCAUCCUCGAUUUAUUGGAAAAAGGGGGACCUCGUGGUAAAUUCGAAGUCGCCCUCGCGUCCCGCCCUCCUGCUGUGGAGCGCCUCGAUCUGGCGCUCCAGCUUCUCGACUUUCUUGUCGAGCUCGUCGCCCUAGGGGAUCGCCACGGUGGUCUGCUCGGGCGCAGGUUGCCCUGGGACUGACUCGACCUCCGACGGUUGCGGCCAGUCGCCUGGACCCCUCACUGGGGGUUCUCUCCAGGAUGCUCGGGCAUGGAGAUCUUGGCCUUGGGGGGCUGGUCCACUUGAAGGGGGCACCGGCUGAACCAGGGCCUGAGGAAACGGUGCUGUCGGGACGCCCCUAGGUUGUAGGCCUUGGACAGCAGCAGCCAAGGCCUGAACCUGCUGCACCAAGGCAUCAAACUGUUCCGGCCGAACUUGAGGAGUCGAAUCGGCCGGAGGUGGUGAGUUCUGGACAGAGUGUCUAGGGCUAGGUGGAAGACGUCGGGAGGCAUUAGAAGUUCCCUUGCUUCUCAGCUUCAUGGCCGCGACUCGGGCCCUUCCUCUAGUGCCAACUGUUGCUGGAAUUUGGACCCGGGGGUGACCACUGGGCCAGGAAGGAGGAGCUCCGGUGAGAACCAGCGGGCGGCGAUCUGGCGGCGCGCAACGUCCUCCGAGAGACCUGCAAGAAGCCGGCGCCGGAAACCCCGGUGCCGGCCCUCCGAUGCUUAAGUUAGAGGGGGCAAGUGUAUGAACGGGAGUAGUCAAUGUUCAGAGUUUUUUCUUCUCCAGCCCCCUUUAAAAUGGGGAAGUUCCCCUUUUAUAGAAGGGGCUGGGUUACCUGUGAUGUGACGGGGCAAACGGUCUGUAGUACGAUUGGGCAUGCAGUAGAAAUCAAUGCUCGAUCGUGUGAAUCAAUGCCGUUACUGUAGGAGAUUAGGCCGAAGCUCUCGAGUCAUCAUGGAGUCAUACCAUCAUUCAUAGCCAAGUAGGUUUGCCGUAAGAGGCUUGAUGUCCGUAGAUAAUAGAAGCCAUACGUUUUAAUUGUUGAGCAAGCUGAGUGCCUGCAAGAGCCAUACGCUUUGAUUGUUGAGUAAGCUGAGUGCCUGCAGGAGCCAUACGUUUUGAUUGUUGAGUAAGCUGAGUGCCUGCAGGAGCCAUAUGCUUUGAUUGUUGACGAAAGCAAGGCGUGGUUUUUUGGUCGCGCUGCGGGGGGAUGUGACCACAGCGCGAGUCGGGCGUCUCUGGGUCAGUAGGGCUGCUCGGGCGCUUCCGGGUCAGGGGGUUUGCUCGGGCGCUUCCGGGUCGGAGGGUCUACUCGGUCUGCUCGGGCGGCUCCAGGUCGGAGGAGGUCUGCUCGGCUAUUCAUGCAGGCGUGACGAAUAUUUUCCCCCCAACAGCUUUCAUAUGAAACCCUGAGGUUCUCAUGCUCUACCUAAUCCCUUAAACAAGCUCCUCAUCAAACUUACUGAGCUAAGCUCAAACUCAACACCAUUCUAAGAUGAGCCAAUCUUUAGCAGGGCGGUCCCUACCUGAAGCUUCGCUUAUUUAAACCUUUAUGGAGAAAUAAGGAAGCUUCAGUAAUCUAGCGAUGCAUCAACAGUCUUGGACAUAAAACAAUAGCAUUCUAGCAGGUAUCUCCAGGUCCCUCCUGCAAGGACUGGUACCAACAACUUAUAGGGUUUGCUUGAACUAUUUCUGAAAGCUCUCUGACACUGUCAACAUAAAAAGAAGUAUCUCAUGCGGUAUUAUUGCUUAAAAUGAAAACUUAGGGAAAAAACAGAGGGCAUAAAUGCACGCUUAACACAAGCCAUAGAAACACAAGUCUAAAGGCUUUUGUUUGCUUCUUCCGCUUAUAGUAUAUAUAUUUACUAACAUGUUCUUUUACACAUAACUUGAAUAACAUUAGUACAAACCGCACGAUGACAAAAAAUAAAAUCCAGAUGACCACCACUGCAUUAUCUUGUACUUCCAAAUGUGGCAAAACAAAUAAGGUGAUUGUAUCUUUAGACAAAAAAAAAGAUCCACCCCCGACACAAAAAAAUAAGAAAAAGAAAAAGGGAUCCAAUAUAUAAGAAAAUAUAGGAAUAGCUUCAAAGGCAUCCCUUUUCCCCACCUUUCUCCAGUAUCACUGUCCUAUAGACUCCCACCAGCUGCCACAAUGAGGUGCUUCAGCUACAAGUAGUUAAAGGUAAGCAUGAAUAUGAUUUAGCGAGAGUCAAACUCUCAUUGCCGAUUUUUUUUAAGAGAAAUAUCUAGAUAUCUGGUGUAAACUUGUAGUUUGUUUCUUAAAAGAGAUUUUUCUUGCUUAGAUUGUUGCAGAUUCAUUUGCCAUCUGCACGAAUCUAAACUUAUUUUCAGAAUGGAAAUUUCUAUGAUGAAUCAGAAGAGGAUAGGAGAUAAAAUCCAUGAAUUUAAUUUGUUAAUGAGAUAAGCAUAUAAUGCACACCAAGUGGAGUAAGUACUAAGUAGCUAAAGAAAUUGUAAACUAUUAGUGCUCACCCCUCUCAGUUGCCAUUUCUGCAACAAUUUUGGAAUGCCCCACAUAUAUUGAAAAGUCUUCUAAGACCAAUCAUGUUCAGAAAACCCAUUUUAGACUGAUUUAGAUUAAAAGAUGUGUGUGCGUGUGAGAGAGGAGGUGGAAGAGAGUUUUAUAAAUGGACGUAUAUUAAGCUCCCUGAACUAUAAACAGCAUAAAGGACAUAAAAGAAGAGUUGCAACUCCAGAAAAGUUUGAAAAUAAAGACUGCAUACCUCGUUUUGGUUUUGGAGUUAGGCAAGUGUUUAAUCUAGCUGAUAUAACCAAAGGAUCCCACGGCACUAUAGUAUGCAGGGACAAGCUUGCACAUAGAAUGGCCAUCGUAUAAAUAUAGUAGACACGUUGGUGCUCAAUUCUUCACUAUUGUAGCAUCUUAUACAAUUCUUGUAACAAAAUUGUGAUCUCCCUAUAUGUUUGAGUUUAAACAAUGAUUUAGUUAAAUCUAUAUCUUUCAUUUUCCUAUCUUCCAUAUGUCAUGCAAAUGCACUCAUGUUCCAACAGUUAAAGGAGAAGUUACUUUAGAAAAGUUGAUGAUAAAGGAAUUACCAGUGUUCUAGAAGUUAUUCUUCUCAUGGGAUCAUUUGUUUUGAAGGAUCUUAUGCAAUGGCGUAUUCCAGUAUUAUUUCUUAAGAGAUUUGCUAUAGAAAAGUUGUUCCAUUAGAGGACCAGUUCCCACUGAGGGGUGAUAUUUUGAGGAGUUUCUAGUUGAAUUAGUUGCCUUAUAGCAGAAUUUGUGUGUAUCCUUGGACUGUGAUGUUUCAAGUUAUUUUUCCUAGUUAAGCCCCUCAUGCUGCUUCUACCAUUAAUUGGAGGAAUAAUGAGUUGAAAACAAGACUAGUCAAGGCGACAAGCAGGUCAGGAAAUAAAUGAUACAGAAGCGAUUUGGACCAUGACCUCUUGCAAUUUUUAGCUCUAAAAACCACAUUAACUAACCACUUGAUCCAAAAGCUUUUGUUGUUAAGGAAUGGAUCAACAUCGUAUGGUAUGCGUAAGAAGGCUAAUAGCCCAGUUUACUAAUUAAAUUUACUUUGCUGACAACUUGAGUACAAUAUCUAUUACCAAUUCAAAACCAUGAUGUAUUAAGACUAUUUAUAUAGAAACAAGGAUACAUUGAUAGAUAUUUCACUACUCUCUACAGAUAAUGGUAAAGAUUUGGAUUUCAGCAUGCGUAUUGGACUCGAAAGCUUUCUUCAUAAAAUCUUUGUUAAUAGUAUUUUAUGAGUUUCGAAUAUGCUUUAGUUUGGUGUAACAAAAUAUAGUGUAGUAUGUGGACUUCUCCAUGUUGUCUCCAUUCAUUUGAACUCUAUGAAAUUAGAAAUCAUAGCCAUCCAAACUUUUCUCAUGUGCAUUGCANNNNNNNNNNNNNNNNNNNNNNNNNNNNNNNNNNNNNNNNNNNNNNNNNNNNNNNNNNNNNNNNNNNNNNNNNNNNNNNNNNNNNNNNNUUUUUGCCCUUUAGGACUGACAUUUGGUGCAUUCAACAUGACUUUCUACUUACAAAUGCUAUUGAGUUGGUGUGUAAUCCAAGUCACACAUUUGAAACA